rnacentral:snRNA from 1 species
GUGCUGGUUUCAGCAGCACAUAUGCUAAAAUUGAAAUGAUACAGAGAAAAUAAGCAUGGCCUCUGCACAAGGAAGACAGACAAAUUCACGGAGCAUUCUGCAUUUGU